UGUUAGCGGGUUAGCCCCCAACUUCAGUUAUUUGGAAAAUAGCCCUCACCGCCUCUCAUCUCUUGCUAAAAGAAUCUCAGAUCUACUACCUUCCUCUCAAUGAAAUGUUAAGCUCUCCUUCACGUAUCUUCUUCUCUUGGGAUUGUAUUUCUCUUUCUCACCUUUUCAUUGUUUUUCUAUGAGAUGUAAACCUUGUUCGUUAUAUCAAUGGUUUUAAGGUCUUGUGAAAGGUAACAUAAUUUUUUUUGUUUAUUGUUCUUUUUGCGAUUUUCGUUCUGUUUUUGGAAAUCUGAAUUUAUAUGGUUUUUAGGUAUUUCUUUGCAGUUGAAUCAUAUUGUUUGAUUUUUGUUCUUUUCAUAUAAUUAGUUUAGAUCUGAGUAAUAUCGAGUUCACUUUAAAUUGGGUUUAGGCUUGUCUAUGUUGAUUAGAAAUUUGCGAAUAUAUCCCUAAUUCGUGCUAAUUUAGGGUUUUUAGAUACUUCUUUGCAGUUGAAUCAUAUUGUUUGAUUUUCUUCUUUUCAUAUAAUUAGUUUAGAUCUGAGUAAUACCGAGUUCACUUUAAAUUGGGUUUAGAUUUGUCUAUGUUGAUUAGAAAUUUGUGAUUCUAUCCUUAAUUCGUGCUAAUUUUUUCGUUUCUGAGGGCUGUUGAAAUAUUUGUUCUUUUCAGCUUGAUAUUCUGUCCUAACUGAAAGCUAAAGUGUUUUAGAUUUAAGGGACCUGAUAAGCUUAAGAUGGUUAACAGAAUAGUAUGUACUAAAUAUGCAUAAUGUUGGCUAUAAUUGAGUGAUUGCCUCUGGAUCCAGUGCAUCUAUGUCGUUUGUCUGCUGUUGUGUAGCUUUAAAUGACUACAAGUACAAGAAUCAUUUUUCUUUCCAGCCUUGUACAAGCCAAAUUUAGCCCAUAUCUAUUGUAAGGCUAGUUUGUAUUUGCUUCUUGAUCAAAGUUUUUGAGUUUAAUAAAAAGCACUAGCAAGAACCUAAGAAUGGACAAUUCGUGAUGUAAGAUCAGGUAGAAAAUUUGAUGUUUGAUUCAUGUUUUUACAUAUGUUAUACAUGUUCUUGAUCAGUUUCUGAAAAGUAGUAUUAUGAGUUACUAUUGAUCUGUUAUCAAUGUAAUUUAUUGUUGUGCAAUAUUGGUGAUGUUAUUAUCUAUUAGAACAUUACAUACCCUUCGCUAUAAUUUAUUGUUAUUUUAUCUUUUAGGACGAAACUCAAUUUAUUUGAAUUUGCUUUGCACUAUUCCAAGGCACUGACUUUUUUCCGGCGUCACAAUUUUCAUUGUCGUGAUGAGUCACUAGAACUGAAUAAGGCAAAUAGCCAUAUAGAAGUCAAAAUAUUAAUUAGUAACCAUAUGCUAAUGGUAGACUAUAGUCAAGCAAUUAGGAAUGGCAGGUCUGGAUUCGUUCACGUCCUCUCUCUUUGCUUAUUGAAUAACAACUUUUACUAUCCUUGGUAAUAUAAGAAAUAGUUAUUCUAGUUCUUAGCUGCUCCUAAAUUCUCCUAGCUUCAAUGUCUACAUGUAAUGUACUAAACUUUUGUUUAAUUGAAGAGAAAAGGACUUUUUAAGCUCGCAGAGUGAAGGUAAGUGGGUUAAUAAACCGUGCUACUAUUUCCACACAAGCUUUACUGUUGGCAGAUAAACUAAGUGUUUGCUUAAAAUUAGGUUGUAUAAAUGUUUAAAUAAGAAUUUUUGCUUAAUGAUACUAAAGUAAGGAGGCAUAUGAAAGAGUUUUUAUCUGUUUUGGAACACAACAAAAUGAUUUUUCCCAGUCUUCUAUAACCUCGUGCUAGUAGCUUUACAUGGAAAUUUAUUCAUGUAGUUUCCAGAUCGAAAUUCUCUAACUUUAUGUCUAAUCUCUGUCUUUUCAUUACCUAGUCGUAAAACAACUUCAUAGGGACUCGGGUACUUGAAUAGGGUGAUGCAAUUCAUGGAAUUUAGGCUCAUUUAAAUGUUUCCUCAAUGUUAGUAUAAGAGCUAAACAUUAAGAGGCACGUGGAACUGGAAUAAAUAGAGCUAAGAUAAGAGAAAACUACAACUGUUGUGGUGAAUCUUCGUAUGUCAUGUUCAGUAAUAUGUCCUUGUCCUGUUUAGAGAAGUUCUCUUUCAUAUGCUAAUACAUACUCUCUUGUUCUUCCUAGUGUGUUUUUACUAUUUCAGAUACAUCAGUCCUGUUCAGAGAAGUGAUUUUUCAUAUAGAUACUUCAUUCCACACAUCCAUUUGAAAUGUUGCCCACCUAGGAAUGCACGGUAAUAACAUAUAUCUAUAAUAAACUGACAUCCCAGAGAAUUUGAUUCUAGUUAUCUUUUUUCUGUUCUUGUAUCUUAGACUAAUUGUGGGAAUAGGUGAAUUUAUGGUUGUCUCGCUCGGUAUGUGCUUGUUUUUGUCUUUAAGUGCAUUGGUUUUUCAUUUCAAGAUCAUUGCAAGGGUGCGAUGGGCUUGCUUUAAGUGAAUAUAGGACCAAGUUCUUGCAUAUUCACUACUAUUUUUCAUGCCGUACUGCUUUUUUAUGUCUUUAUUCUAUCUCUAUUCUCCAGGCGUCUCUCGCCCUUUAGUAUCCUCAUGUCUCCAUGAAAGUCCUCUAUUUAAAUUGUGACCGUUCUCAUUCUUUGGCUACUGAUUUUUAACACACAGGUAUGGUAUGUUAAACUUUAUGCCCUUUGUGUAUUUGUUACUUGUUUCUUUUAUUUAUUUUGAGACUAGCUUCAGCCCUAUGUACUUUAUCUCCUUCUUUGUGUAAAUUUAGCAUCAGUGUUAUUAAGAAGCUUCUAAGUGUUAAUAGUCAUAGUAAAAGAAAUAUAUAUAGGCUUUGGACUAGAAAGUCUAUCUUUGUGUUAUUAUUUACUGUUUUGUUGCUUAAAGAAAAGAAGUUUAUAGUAGCUCUUUAAGCAUUAAAAGCAAAAUAACAAGCUUCUAUUAUUCAUUUAGUACUCCUUGGCCAGAGGAAAUGCCUAGUGCAGGCCUGCCAACUAUGGAGAUGACAUAUGAACGAUGCCUGUGUUCUGAAGUCUUUCUUUGUGCUCACCUAACAUUUCACUUGCUGCAUCCAUUAUAUUGUUGCUGAGUUUGGCCCAAACUUUUGUUACUCUCCCACAUAAGGUUGAGAAGGAUACAAGAAGACCGAGGUUGUAUGUGCUCAAUUGCUCUUUCAAGAACCUUUUAUUAAUUUAUGAGCUUUGAUCUUCGUUAUAUAAUAAUAACUCAUGAAUCGAUGAGUUGCUGUUAAUUCUUUUGCCACUUAUUUAACUGUGUAAAUAAUAUUCUUACUACUCUCACUUCGUGUUACCCCAAUUGGGUUUCAUAAUGUCUAGGCUCUAGCUAUUAUGCCAUAUGUUUCUACAGUUACUUUGCUAGAUAACGUUAUAAUUAAAUCAGAUUAAACCAGGGAGCUAAUCUCGUUUGAUUGUUUGUUAUUCUAGGGAUUUAGAGAAAAAAAUAAUUAAACUCCUUGAACCUGUAAGGUAAUAAAACAAGUUUCGUAGUACUGCGUUCUUAGUUCUUUAUAUUCCUGCUACAUUUUAUCUGUUUUCAGUAAGCUGUAAUUAUCUAUGACUUGGUCUCUUUAUAUUCCUGCUAAUUUGCGUAAUUAUCUAAUUGAUGUUUGGUGCCUCCAUUGAGAAGAACUGACAUUCUAAUUUGUGUUUCUUCUGUAAAUUUCAGAUAUUUAAGUAGUUUAUUUGUUUAAUUUAUUUCAAGGUUGGAUUUUGGGGAUGUUUCUAUCCGAUGUACCAUUUACAUGUGAUUCUCAAUUUAUCUCUUUUAUUUUAUAACGCUUUUAAAAAUCCUCAGUUGGCAAUGUUAGUAUAUUAUCCCAAAAUCAAGUUAAUGAACUCAGCAGAGGUCAAUCUACCCUUGGUCAGUCCUCUCCUUACUGAAUUUAGCCACUUACUUUGUUUAAUUUUUUCCCAUUACUAUAUUUUAGGCGCUUUGCAACCAGAGUUUGCUUCAAACAAGACUAAUGCAGUCCUUCGUACAUUUAAUUCAGUAUCUGAAUGGCUUCCGGGAAGGCCCACAAGGUCCGUGAUUCAUUUGAAGAUUAUGGUGGUCGAAGAAAGGAAUCAAGGGAUGAUGUGUACCUCUUUCUACUAUGAAGCUCAUACUCUUGUACUUAUAGGCUUGGAUUGGCCUUUGUUUUCAAGAUGAAAUUUUAGACUAAUAGGUUUUUGUAUUACUUAAUUUUAUACUUUAAGUUUUUGUAAGUUGAUUUUAUUGUUAAUUGAAGACCAUUCACAAUUCAGGUUUCA